rnacentral:lncRNA from 1 species
AAAUGCAAGAAUUCCAAAUUCAUGCCAUUUACCAAAAUUUGUUAGAUUUUAAACUUAUAUGCAUUGAUCCUCUUGUAAUGAUUAUGCACAAAGUCACAAAGACUUGACAACAAACAUUACAGAGCAUUCCAAUGGAGAUCAACUCCAUGGAAGCAUCCUUCUUUCAUUAAGUUUCCUAAUCUUACACAUAUUUAUUGAAUAACNUGCCAUUUACUGAAAUCUGUUAGAUUCUAAACUUAUAUGCAUUGAUCUUCUUGUACUGAUUAUGCACUAAGUUGGAAAGACUUGACAACAAUCAUUACAGAGCAUUCCAAAGGAGAUCAGCUCCUUGGGAACAUCCUUCUUGCAUUAAGUUUCCUAAUCUUACAUAGAUUAAAAAAUUUCUAACUUUGAAACAUUUCCAGAUUCCAUUUUGACUAUCACUUCUGAACAAGAGUUGUUUCCUUACAGAUUAUGUCAAUAUCGUCCUUCCAGAAUUAUCACUAUACUUCCAACUGUCCUUGAGCAACCAAUCUUUGGUAAACCUUAGAUUGUUCUCGACAAUUGAUUAAUCAUUUUAGUAAUAUCCAGUUCUAGACUUUUCCCUUCUUAAUUCCCUGAGCAUUUGGAAG